AUAGAAUUUGACAAUAUUUUAGCAUUUAAUUUCAGUACUGUGGUUUUAUUGGAUCGGUUUGGAGGAUAAGACUAGAUACAAUUUCUGCUAGAAGUCUGUUAGAAGUCACAAAUUAAGUUCGGCUUUGACAGGAAAUAAAUUUGGUGCGGUCGGGAAUUAUGGCUGUUCAAAUACGCCUUACUUAUAUUGUCAUCCUACUUACCAUUUUGAAUCUCACGCUGUGCUUUCCUCAUCCUAUUCCUCAUGGUCCUCGAAGUAACUUGGUUUCCUCAAAGGAAGAAAUGUUUCUUACACGUUUGCACAGGCAUCUACACAAAGAUACAAGCCAGCAGAUGAAUGUGGUUCUGCAGACGGUAGAAUAAUGAAGAACAUCUUUCAACGAAGGCUGAGAAGAUCUAGAUAACUAACAAGUUGACAUGUAAAGAGUUUAGCUGCAACCCUGAAGAAAUAUUAAACACUGACAAAUAUACAUUCAUAAAGUGUAUUGAGAGCGAUCGUGAACACUAACAAAUAUACAUUCAAUAAAUACAUUGAACGUGAUCGUGGUAUGUGUUUUAACAAAUAUAGUAGUAUGUAUCGUCAUUACAAAAUAAUCAUGACUGUUCUCUGUAAAAAAGUUCUAAUUAACUGUUUUAAACAAAGAUUAACAACUAAAGUAUUAUAAACAUCUGCAUAGUUUACCUGUAAAUAUUAUCAUACUUUUUGUAGUUUGACAUUCCACUUCUUCAGUCUGGAACAGGUUUUUGUCUUAAACUAACUGUAUAUACAUGCUAUAACAGUUUAGCCAUAUAAUUCUGCUGAAUAAAGUUAGCAAGAAGU